GUAGAAAAUAUUUAAAUGAAGCUUAUGCUGUUCAUACAGUCCUUGGUACUGAGUUAGAAGCACAACAUUUUACUUGUUGCAGUAUGUUUUAAUUAUGAGCAAAAAAGCCAAACACCAUCUUCCUCUUUUGUUUAACAUAAUCACAAAUCAGUUUAAAACUAUACCAAUAAUUAUACCACUAAAUAGUUAUGGUGAAACUUAUUUACUCAAUGAUGGUUCUAGUCAAAAAUAUGACCGGAUUAAAAAAAAUAUUGAGAAUUACUCUUAAUACCACCAAGAUCAAAUAUGCGACCAUCAUCGAGUAAAUAAGUUUCAAAAUAACUAUUUAGUGGUAUAAUUAUUGGUAUAGUUUUUCACUGAUUUGGGAUUAUGUUAAACAAAAGAGGAAGAUGGUGAUUGGCUCUUAUUUCGGUACAUUUGUUCGACUCUUUCAGCCUACAGCACAUCUCGAUCAUAGUCUUGCUCCCGUUGCAAUUCGCGAUUGAAUGCAUCAUGCGUGGCCGCGUGGGCUUCCAACACGAGUAGCUGAGAGAAUGGUCAAAGGACCAACAUUGGCCACGUCUUCUUCAGUAGCGAUGGCGUCACGCAAGUGGAUGUACUCGUCUGAUUGUAACUUCGACUGAUUGAAACGAAUGCAAUUGAGACGCUCCAUAUUCAAAUUUAAAAAAAAUAAUAAUAAAUAAAUAUUAUUCUCAACUCCUAUAACCCAUAACAACCAUUAAUAAACAAAAAAAUCGUAAAUCUCAAAAUUCCUGUUUGAGCGCCUACCGGGGGUGAUCAAUUCCCUUUCUGAAUUAGCCUAUGACACUCACAAAGAAUGUGGCUUACUAUUGGUGAAAGAAUUUUCGAAAUCGGUUCAGUAGUUCUAGAGAUAACCCUCAACAACGGUAAUUAACAACUCCUCUUUAUAUAAUAGUAUUGAGUAUAGAUUACAAAACUGAAAAAAUGUAAGAAACCAGUGGAACAAAGACACUAAAAAAUAAAAACAAAAUGGUGAUAAUAUUGAAAAUAUUAACUAAGCAUUAUGCUUCUGAAAUAACAAUGUUUUAGCUUUAAAUUGUAGGCGAGAUAGUACACAAAAAAACCAAGACAGCGAAGAUUCUAUUAGCAUUUAUAUAUUAGCUCUUGAAAAUAAAUGAAGUUUAUCCACAGUUUUUUUUACAUUUUGGUAUAAAGCUCAAAUCAGAAUUACGUGUAUUUGUAAUAGGAAUACCAAAUCCAAUUAAAUGUAUAACUUCUGUGUAGUAGAAAUGUAGAAUGUCAAUGUUCAACUGCAGUAUUCCACUUCUAAUACAGCAUAACCUAAUAAUUAUUUUGUUAUUUUAAUUUUUAAAACGAAUUCACAUAUUAUUGUAACUACUAGACCUCCUUAGUUCAUACAGUAAUUUUGAAUCUAACAGUAAGUCUUGAUAUAACCAAUAUUUUUAUCGAAGUUUAUUUUAAUUAUUGAAUAUACAAGAAAAAAUAAAAUUGUAAAAUAUGUAAUACCUAAGUUAUUAUCUAGGUUAUAUAGUACAAUAAACAUCGUAAAUUCGUCGUUAAUACUGAUGACGAUUGACGAGUAUAAUAUCAUAUUAUUAUAAAUAAAUUGUGUUACAUACUUGGCCCAAACAUAAAGUGUUGACCGGCGUAUUGUAUAGGCAAAAUAGGUACAUUACUGCAGUGUUCAAUAAUAAUAUUGACUGUUCAUAAUUACAAUUUAAUUCAACGUUGUCAUAAAAUAUUAUUACGUUUGCCGACAGAAUGUGGAUGCGCACAACCCAAAACGGAUAGUAUUUUGACACAAGCGCCCAAAUCAACGUUUAUCAUCUCUGUUAUUAUGCGUGAAAUAACAGCUACAUCCAUGAUACUUGUAACCGAUAUUGUGUACACAGUAAAAUACGAUAAUAUCUGAACACAACUAAAAAUUGAUAAGACGUCAGACGACCAUGCCGACCAGGGGGAUCAGAGUAGCAGCCAGGAAAUGGCAGGAUUACUAAAACCGAAAAUAUGUAAAUUGAUAAUAACACCAUCUAAUUUUAAAUUUUUUGAAGCACUUCAGGUUCGUCAGGCAUAUUUGUUCAAUGAUAAAACAAAGUUGAUUGAAGAGGCAAUGGACGAUACUGAUUUGCAAAGGUAUUGAAGUUGACAUAGUAGUAAUAUGAAUCAAAGAGAGAUGACCUGGUUCGUGUUAUUAAGAAUUACGAGCUCAUUCCAAAACUUCCUGAAUAGAUAUUAAACAUAACUAAAGAGAAGGCCAUAAUGGACAAAACUGGCAAAUACCUGCUGAUUUAUGUCAAUUUUCAAAGCGGUAGUCUCAGGUCUUUCAAAGAUGUUUUCCUGAGAUUUAGAAUAAUUGUUGAGGAGUUCUAUAAAGAAUUUAUUUAUGUUCUUAAGAGCAAGAAACUUGAUGUUAAUGUCAUAGAAAUAUGUCGAUAAUGGUGUUAUCGUAUUAAACACAAAUCCUUUAUCUUAAUACAUGACAUUGAAUCCACUCAGAAAAAUUAAGCUAAGUUAUGUUCAGCAUCAAUGUUCAAUGUUAACAAAAAUCAAUUUAAUUAAAUUAUAGAAUUUUAUCUAUCGAUUCUCAACUAAUUUUUGAAAGACAAUGAUGAAUAUGAUUGUUUUAGCUUCAUAACGGGAAUUUUGUUCGUAUGUUCUACUGAUCUAUGCAAAAUUAAUAUUGUUAUCUUGUAUACAUUUUUUCAAAGUAAACAAUUUUCUAGUUUCUACGGAAUUCAUGAAGAUUUACAAGUGCUGCUAUGGGAUUAAAGACAAUGAAUUUAAAAAUGUAGAAUCACCCUACAAUGGAUUUCAAUCUGACUAGGAGAAAAUAUAUCGUGUAUAGUCAGUGAUUUCAUAGGUACCUUAAGUUUAAGGAUAUUUCAAAUUAUUAGUUGGACGGAUGUAGUAUUUAAUUGAACAGAGACAUUUCAACAGUAAAAUUUACAAUAUUAGGAAUGAUGUGUGUUAAUAAUAUAAUAGAGAUGUAUUUAGUAAUGGAGGAUUUUAUUGUAGGAUAAAAAAAUAUUAACUAUAUUAUUCUACUACUUUUGAGAAAAAUUCAAAACUUUAUGUAAAACAUUACAUACUUAUUCUAGGAGCAAUUAAUUUUAAAUAACCAAUAACUAAUACUAAAUAUUAAAUAGCCCAUUUGGUAUUAGUUAUUGGUUGUUAUAUCUUGGGCUAUAUCUACAUUACAAAUUCAUUUUAAAUAUAUAAUGAAUUUAUAAUAACAAUAAAAUAAAAAUCUGUUACUGUAAUAAUAAGUAAUUGUAUGGCACCUUUUUUUUAAAUAACUCAAAUGUUAUUUUUUUAUAACCUUUACAAUGAUAAAAUUAAUUAAGUAUUUCAUUUAUA